UUGCGAAGUCGCGAGGCUAAGCUAAUCUCUUAAAGCUUCUCUCAGUUCGGAUUGCAGGCUGCAACUCGCCUGCAUGAAGCCGGAAUCGCUAGUAAUCGCGGAUCAGCACGCCGCGGUGAAUACGUUCCCGGGCCUUGUACACACCGCCCGUCACACCACGAGAGUUUGUAACACCCGAAGUCGGUGAGGUAACCUUUUGGAGCCAGCCGCCUAAGGUGGGAUAGAUGAUUGGGGUGAAGUCGUAACAAGGUAGCCGUAUCGGAAGGUGCGGCUGGAUCACCUCCUUUCUAAGG
rnacentral:rRNA from 1 species